rnacentral:sRNA from 12 species
CCUACGGAGAGUACAUAAUAAUGUAAGUACUGAUUAGGGACAUCUAUCAGGAAAGCAUACUCGAUGAAGUAGGAA